rnacentral:rRNA from 1 species
GACGAACGCUGGCGGCGUGCCUAAUACAUGCAAGUCGAGCGGACCACUUCGGUGGUCAGCGGCGGACGGGUGAGUAACACGUGGGCAACCUGCCUGUAAGACUGGGAUAACACCGGGAAACCGGUGCUAAUACCGGAUAAUCCUUUCCUUCACAUGAAGGGAAGCUGAAAGACGGUUUCGGCUGUCACUUACAGAUGGGCCCGCGGCGCAUUAGCUAGUUGGUGAGGUAACGGCUCACCAAGGCAACGAUGCGUAGCCGACCUGAGAGGGUGGUCGGCCACACUGGGACUGAGACACGGCCCAGACUCCUACGGGAGGCAGCAGUAGGGAAUCUUCCGCAAUGGACGAAAGUCUGACGGAUCAACGCCGCGUGAGCGAUGAAGGCCUUCGGGUCGUAAAGCUCUGUUGUCAGGGAAGAACAAGUACCGGAGUAACUGCUGGUACCUUGACGGUACCUGACCAGAAAGCCACGGCUAACUACGUGCCAGCCGCCGCAGUAACAC